GUGCGCUAACCGCGAGAGACAGCUAACCACGGUAGGCUCAGCGACUGGGGUGAAGUCGUAACAAGGUAGCCGUAGGCAACGUGCGGCUGAUCACCUCCUUUCUAAGGAAGAUCGAGAAACGCUAAGACGACCGGCUUGCGGAUUGAAGCUUUUUCCUUCUUUUGUAGGACCAAGAUCGGGAUCAGUCUGGAUCACGAUCGGCACGGGAGUGCGCCAGCAAAGACUUCGGCCAUGCCGGUAUGGCGGAGCUUUCGCGGUCCACGUUUUCCUUCCUUUCAAAAGGCAAAGGAACCCGGUGGUUCCGUUUUGGCCUGUCUGGCUUUACGGAGGAUGGGCUCCGAACUCAGCUGGUAAGAGGCACAGCCUGAUCAGCUGGGAUCCGAACUUCAAGUUCUCCCUGCCCACUAAUUUGUUCCAGCAAUAGAAUUGCUCGCAAUUGAUGGGGGUGGGAACUGCUGCAGAGCCGGAUGCUGCCGAGCUGAGCUGUCCGGGCCGAUCGAGCUCGAUCGGUCUGAUAGCGUCAGCUAGAGAAGAACUACAUUCGAAGCAGCGCGUACAGCGGUUUCGAUCACGCUCAGCU
rnacentral:misc_RNA from 1 species